GACGAACGCUGGCGGCGUGCUUAACACAUGCAAGUCGAACGGAAAGGCCCUGCUUUUGUGGGGUGCUCGAGUGGCGAACGGGUGAGUAACACGUGAGUAACCUGCCCUUGACUUUGGGAUAACUUCAGGAAACUGGGGCUAAUACCGGAUAGGAGCUCCUGCUGCAUGGUGGGGGUUGGAAAGUUUCGGCGGUUGGGGAUGGACUCGCGGCUUAUCAGCUUGUUGGUGGGGUAGUGGCUUACCAAGGCUUUGACGGGUAGCCGGCCUGAGAGGGUGACCGGCCACAUUGGGACUGAGAUACGGCCCAGACUCCUACGGGAGGCAGCAGUGGGGAAUAUUGCACAAUGGGCGGAAGCCUGAUGCAGCAACGCCGCGUGCGGGAUGACGGCCUUCGGGUUGUAAACCGCUUUCGCCUGUGGCGAAGCGUGAGUAACGGUAAUGGGUAAAGAAGCACCGGCUAACUACGUG
rnacentral:rRNA from 1 species